rnacentral:tRNA from 1 species
AAAUUUUUAGUUUAAUAAAAAAUAUUUUGUUUACACCAAAAAGGUUAAAAAUUUU